AGAGUUUGAUCAUGGCUCAGGACGAACGCUGGCGGCGUGCUUAAUACAUGCAAGUCGAGCGGUAAUCUCACCUUCGGGUGAGCUUACAGCGGCGGACGGGUGAGUAACGCGUGGGCAAUCUGCCCUCUAGCCUGGGAUAACAGUUCGAAAGGACUGCUAACACCGGAUAUGCUCCCACCCUGGCAUCAGGGAGAGAGAAAAGUUUACACUAGAGGAUGAGCCCGCGUCCCAUUAGCUAGUUGGUGAGGUAACGGCCCACCAAGGCGACGAUGGGUAGCCGACCUGAGAGGGUGAUCGGCCACACUGGGACUGAGACACGGCCCAGACUCCUACGGGAGGCAGCAGUAGGGAAUUUUCGGCAAUGGGCGCAAGCCUGACCGAGCAACGCCGCGUGAGGGAUGAAGGUCUUCGGAUCGUAAACCUUUGUCUAGAGGGACGAUAAUGACGGUACCUCUGGAGGAAGCCACGGCUAACUACGUGCCAGCAGCCGCGGUAAUACGUAGGUGGCAAGCGUUGUCCGGAAUUACUGGGCGUAAAGGGCGUGUAGGCGGCCUUUUAAGUCAGACGUGAAAUCCCUGGGCUUA
rnacentral:rRNA from 1 species